rnacentral:rRNA from 1 species
GCCUUCGGGAACUCUGAGACAGGUGCUGCAUGGCUGUCGUCAGCUCGUGUUGUGAAAUGUUGGUUAAGUUCCGCAACGAGCGCAACCCUUAUCCUUUGUUGCCAGCGGUCCGGCCGGGAACUCAAAGGAGACUGCCAGUGAUAAACUGGAGGAAGGUGGGGAUGACGUCAAGUCAUCAUGGCCCUUACGAGUAGGGCUACACACGUGCUACAAUGGCGCAUACAAAGAGAAGCGAACUCGCGAGAGCAAGCGGACCUCAUAAAGUGCGUCGUAGUCCGGAUUGGAGUCUGCAACUCGACUCCAUGAAGUCGGAAUCGCUAGUAAUCGUAGAUCAGAAUGCUACGGUGAAUACGUUCCCGGGCCUU